GAUGAACGCUGGCGGCGUGCCUAAUACAUGCAAGUCGAACGCAGUGGGGACGGGUGAGUAACACGUGGGUAACCUCCCAUAAGAGGGGAUAACACUUGGAUACAGGUGCUAAACCGAUACUGGUGGAUGUACUCGCGGUGCAUUAGCUAGUUGGUGGGGUAACGGCUCACCAAGGCCACGAUGCAUAGCCGGCCUGAUAGGAUGAUCAGCCACACUGGGACUGAGACACGGCCCAGACUCCUACGGGAGGCAGCAGUGGGGAAUAUUGCACAAUGGGCGCAAGCCUGAUGCAGCCAUGCCGCGUGUAUGAAGAAGGCCUUCGGGUUGUAAAGUACUUUCAGCGGGGAGGCGUUACCCGCAGAAGAAGCACCGGCUAACUCCGUGCCAGCAGCCGCGGUAAUAC
rnacentral:rRNA from 1 species